rnacentral:rRNA from 1 species
ACCUUUGACAUGGCAGGAAUCCCGAAGAGAUUGGGAGUGCUCGAAAGAGAACCUGCACACAGGUGCUGCAUGGCUGUCGUCAGCUCGUGUCGUGAGAUGUUGGGUUAAGUCCCGCAACGAGCGCAACCCUUGCCAUUAGUUGCUACGAAAGGGCAACUCUAAUGGGACUGCCGGUGACAAACCGGAGGAAGGUGGGGAUGACGUCAAGUCCUCAUGGCCCUUAUAGGUGGGGCUACACACGUCAUACAAUGGCCGGUACAGAGGGUAGCCAACCCGCGAGGGGGAGCCAAUCCCACAAAGCCGGUCGUAGUCCGGAUCGCAGUCUGCAACUCGACUGCGUGAAGUCGGAAUCGCUAGUAAUCGUGGAUCAGCAUGUCACGGUGAAUACGUUCCCGGGUCUU